GAUGAAGAACGUAGCGAAAUGCGAUACGUAAUGUGAAUUGCAGAAUUCAGUGAAUCAUCGAAUCUUUGAACGCAUAUUGCGCUCUCUGGUAUUCCGGAGAGCAUGCUUGUUUGAGUAUCAGUAAACACCUCAACUUCCAUAUCUUUUUUGAAAUGGGAGUUGGUCUUGAGUGAUCCCAACGCUUUUCCUCACCGAAAAGUGGCGGGUUACUUGAAAUGCAGGUGCAGCUGGACUUUUCUCUGAGCUAUAAGCAUAUCUAUUUAGUCUGCCUAAAAAACAGAUUAUUACCUUUGCUGCAGCUAACAUAAAGGAGAUUAGUUCUUGUGCUGACUGAUGCAGGAUUCACAAAGACGGCUUCGGCCGACUUUGUAAACUCGAUCUCAAAUCAAGUAAGACUACCCGCUGAACUUAAGCAUAUCAAUAAGCGGAGGA
rnacentral:misc_RNA from 1 species